UACGGAGGGGGCGAGCGUUAUUCGGAAUUAUUGGGCGUAAAGGGCGCGUAGGCGGCUUGAUAAGUCAAAGGUGAAAUCCCUCGGCUCAACUGAGGAACUGCCUUUGAAACUGCCAAGCUCGAGGCCGGGAGGGGGUAGCGGAAUUCCCAGUGUAGCGGUGAAAUGCGUAGAUAUCAGGAGGAACACCGGUGGUGUAAACGCUUUCUGGACCAUAACUGACGCUGAGGCACGAAAGCGUGGGUAGCAAACAGG
rnacentral:rRNA from 1 species